GAUGAACGCUGGCGGCGUGCCUAAUACAUGCAAGUCGAGCGAACAGACGAGGAGCUUGCUCCUCUGACGUUAGCGGCGGACGGGUGAGUAACACGUGGAUAACCUACCUAUAAGACUGGGAUAACUUCGGGAAACCGGAGCUAAUACCGGAUAAUAUAUUUAACCGCAUGGUUCAAUAGUGAAAGACGGUUUUGCUGUCACUUAUAGAUGGAUCCGCGCCGCAUUAGCUAGUUGGUAAGGUAACGGCUUACCAAGGCAACGAUGCGUAGCCGACCUGAGAGGGUGAUCGGCAACACUGGAACUGAGACACGGUCCAGACUCCUACGGGAGGCAGCAGUAGGGAAUCUUCCGCAAUGGGCGAAAGCUUGACGGAGCAACGCCGCGUGAGUGAUGAAGGUCUUCGGAUCGUAAAACUCUGUUAUUAGGGAAGAACAAAUGUGUAAGUAACUAUGCACGUCUUGACGGUACCUAAUCAGAAAGCCACGGCUAACUACGUG
rnacentral:rRNA from 1 species